UUCUUAUCCAGAGAGGUGGAGGGACUGGCCCUUCGAAGCCUCAGCAACAGACUGUAACAAGUACUGUGCUAAUUCCAGAAGCGUUUUGCUUGAAGAUAAGAA
rnacentral:ncRNA from 2 species